rnacentral:lncRNA from 1 species
ACAAAGUUUAUAUUAGAGCGUCAUCCAUUAAUGCUUUGGCUAGGAGGGGUAAGUGCUGGGAAAUGUCAUCUUAAGAACAGUGGGAUUUGUGGGGGCAAUUGUCUUUUACUUGCAGCGGCAUAACUGAUCAUCUGUUCACCAUUUACCUCUUAUUACUUGCAGUAGUUCUUGAACAAUGCUGGGAGCUAAUAUUUCAAUGUUAAGGACUCGGAAGAGACAGCAUAGUUGAGGCAGUGUAGCAAAGUGGUUAGGGGCACAACUCUGGAGCCAGCCAGCCUUGGUUUCAAUGCUGGUUCUGUCAUGUACUUGUGGUGUGAUCUUGGGAAAGUUACCAAAUGCCUGAGUUCCUCAGUUUGCUUAUCUCUAAUAUGGAAUGAUAAUGACAGUGUCAUCUUUUACGGUUGUUGUUAAGAUUCAAUGGUGAUAAGUUCUUAGUACAGUGCCGGCCCAUAGUAAGUGCUGUAUGUGUUGAUCAUAUUAUUAUAUAUCACAGCUCUUAAAAUACAGAGAUUGUCUUGAAGACAAUUAUUCAUCUUCUCACUCUUUUUUCCCCAUUAGCCACUAGCUAACUUGGAAGUGUGUAGUAAUAAGGCCAGAUGACUAAAUGGAAAGCAAAAGUUAUCUUUUAAGCAUGAGCAAAAUUAUGAACAAUCUAUAGAGUGAUUAAAGUUGUGAUUCAGUAAUAACAAUUUAAAGAAAUUUAUCAAUAGCAAAUGUAAAAAUAAUUUAAAUCAAGAAUUAGUUUCAAUCAAGAAAAUUUCAGAUUUUAUUUUAUUAUUCAUUUAUAUUUGUUAUAUCUGUGGAUCUGUUUUAUUUAUGUUCAUGAGGACCUGUUUGGUCUGAAAGUAAUUUAAGAUAGCUUACAAAGAAGCAUAUUAUAUAUAGUAAAAUGAUAUUAAAUUUAAAUUAAUAGGAAAAGUUAGAUAAAUGGAAAACAAAGGUAGAAAAGAAGGAGAUGGUGUUUUGAAUAUGAAAUUGUAUCUUGAAUCCCCCAUGCUUGCUACAAGUGGUAAUGAGAGUGGUAAUAUAAUUCAAGAAGAUGAUUGUGUAAAACAAACUGGUUGCUUAGGCAGAGGACAUCCAUUAUUGAUACUGUGAUAAGAGUAAUUUCUGCCAUGUUGCUCAGUUUCAGUAUUCACCAGAAUCUUAAGCAUUAAACUUGAAUAUUAAACCAGGAA